AUUCUACAAUAGAACACUGGAGAGAAAGAGAUGCAGGUGGGGAGGAAGGAGGCAGGAAUAAUGGGAAUAGGUGGAAGAGAAGGCGGAAGAUGUAUUUAUCCGGAUACAAUCAAAGAACCAUUUCAGAGGAAAAAGGAGAAUGUGAGUUGGAACUUUAAGUUUGAGUAAUGAUCCCCAGAAAUAAUUAAAGAAUCCUUCUAGGCAAUUUGGAAAAUUUUCUUUCAUUUAUUUUCAUUUACUUGUAUAUAUGUGUGUGUUAACCCUUGCCUUUGCAUGAGUUUUUCUGCAACCCGAAAUUCAUACUACAUCUCUGUAAAACUAAGGCUAAUCUGUAAUUACAAUUCAUUUUAUCUGGAAAAUGUUAUUGUACUCCCUAAAAUAUGUACACUAAUUCUACAUAGCAAUAAUUAUUUUGGAUGUUAGUUAAAUGCUUUGCUAAAACAGGGGGAAACUGCUUUGUUCCUAGUUAUUUGGGUAAAUUUAAUUUAAAAAAAGGUUUUCUUUUUUAUUCUUCUUGUUCUCUUCAGUUUGGUCAGAACUGCCUCACGGUCUCAUAGUUUUGGUUUGCACUUCAGUGGUUAGAGAAGUCUGAACUCCUUUUGCUUUGGAAAGCUGGUAAGCACAGAAAGUGAGAGGCAAGGAUGUAUUUGCUAAGGUAUAUUUCUAGAAAAUUCCAUGUAGACAGUGUAAAGGGAUGGUAUUUGAUAGAACACACUAUUUAAAAUUAUGACUUUGGAAUGGGGACAUUUUAAACUCAGUUAUAGGCAUAUAUGGCCUCUUUUCCUUUCCUUUCUUCCUCCACCACAAAAUUCUAUGUUGACUGGAAGUCAACUAUUUUGAGAGAUGCUAUAUUGAAUUGUAGGAUAGUAAGAAAAGUCAUGUAGCUGAUAUACUGCGAUGGGAGCAGCUUAACAGCAGCUUUAACUGAUAAUUCCUAGUUUUCUGUAGGCUCAUUAGCGCAAACAGUGUGGAAUUGGCGAGCCACCGUCCUAAUCAGUACAGUUGUAGGGUAGGCAUUAGGCAUUAGGGUUUCCAGAAAUUGGACCCCUGAUAGCUCUUA
rnacentral:lncRNA from 1 species